UCGAGCGCAAUGCGGUGAAAGUCGCAUGUUGCGUUCUUCGGGGGCCCCAC
rnacentral:ncRNA from 1 species